GAUGAACGCUGGCGGCGUGCCUAAUACAUGCCAGUCGAGCGAACAGAUGAGGAGCUUGCUCCUCUGACGUUAGCGGCGGACGGGUGAGUAACACGUGGAUAACCUACCUAUAAGACUGGGAUAACUUCGGGAAACCGGAGCUAAUACCGGAUAAUAUAUUGAACCGCAUGGUUCAAUAGUGAAAGACGGUUUUGCUGUCACUUAUAGAUGGAUCCGCGCCGCAUUAGCUAGUUGGUAAGGUAACGGCUUACCAAGGCAACGAUGCGUAGCCGACCUGAGAGGGGGAUAGGCCACACUGGAACGGAGACACGGACCAGACUCCUACGGGAGGCAGCAGUAGGGAAUGUUCCGCAAUGGGCGAAAGCCUGACGGAGCAACGGCGCGUGAGUGAUGAAGGUCUUCGGAUCGUAAAACUCUGUUAUUAGGGAAGAACAAAUGUGUAAGUAACUAUGCACGUCUUGACGGUACCUAAUCAGAAAGCCACGGCUAACUACGUG
rnacentral:rRNA from 1 species